rnacentral:lncRNA from 1 species
GGAACUGCUUCAGUCUCCAAAUUUGAUCAAGCAGGGAGAUGUCCUCCAUAGUUGGAUUUAAGAAGCAGUGAUUGUUGAUGAGUGGGUUCAGCUGGUGCCCCUUGAUAUUCAAGCUUUUGUGUACACUGACACCCUUGUCUUCCACCGAGGGUGUUUCUUGAUCAAACUCAUGUGUACCUCCUGCAACAUGGUUAGUGCAAUGUGGUUCUACAAAAAUAAUAUGCAGAGGUACAACACCCAAUCUCAGUGUAACAAGCUGACCCUUAGAUAUACCC